rnacentral:lncRNA from 10 species
GGGCGCUAAUAAUUGUACCUACCCCCUAGGUAGAAUUAAAUGAGUAAAAGAUAUAAAGUAAUUAGAGCUGGAUUUGGCACUUAAUAAGUGCUCAACAAAUUUUAGUUACUAUCAAAGACACAGGAUGUGAUCAGUACUGAAUGGCUCUCCUUGGGUUGUUGUGCCUUUCCCCUAGAGGGGAAGGAAAAAAAUCUCUGUCUUCUACUCUCCUAGAUUUAGUGUCUGGGGUCUUGCAAAUUGAACCAACAAAAGACAGAUUAACAGGAGAAAAAGAUUUAUUUAAUAUGCAUAAUGGGGCCUCACAGAAAUUAAAUGAAAACCCCAAAGAGGUGACCAAAGACUUAUAUAGCAUUUUAACAAAGGAUGAUAAAUUUGUGGAGAAGUUGGAUCUCCUAGGCACCGUACCUUGUGGGAAGGUAAAUAUAUGGGUAAUGAAAGAUAAGGGUUAUUUCAGCAAGGUUUAUUUAUGCAGAUUCAAGCCAGUGCAUCUCCAGUGAUAAGAAUUGUUUCUUUUUCCUGGUAUGGGAGAGGAGAGAAAAGUGCCUUCACAAAGAGAAAUUUAUGUCCUGCUUUUAGGCAGAUGGGGGAGGGUAGAGAGCUUUUUCAGCAGUCUGUUAUUUCUCAAUUGCCUUCAGCUCAACACAAUCCUUUGCCAAAGUGGCAUAUUUUGGGGUGGCAUAUUCUGAUCCUGAUCAUUCCCAAAGGUGUCAGUGGGACUAGUUGGCCUCCAGGCCUUGUGCCAGCUUCAGGGCAGCCCCCACACGGAGUGGUCUUGUGUUGGUGCUUGCAGGGUUCUGCAGGAGUCUGGUUGCUUGAGA